UAGGGAAUAGCUCAGUUGUGUAGAGCAGAAGCUUGAAAAUCCUUGUGUCACCGGUUCAAAUCUGGCUCCUGAAU
rnacentral:tRNA from 1 species